UUAAAGCUAGAUAUGCACCAUGAAUUGAAUAUCAUACAUCAGGAUCUGGCAACCAUCACUCAUCAGGGAUAUCCACUCCAACAAAACUUUAGCCAAAACAAAACAACAUUCUCCCCACAACUCUUCCUCCUAAGCGAAUAAACAUCUAUGCUACUAAUGGUGGUUCUGCAAGUGCACAGAAUUGCAACCAAGUAAUAAAGUGAUAAGUUAUCGUUCUCAACAGGGAUUGUGACAAAAUUACUAGUUUCGCUUAGGAAUUUAGAAAGCAAGAGUGCUUUGCAUUCGCUUU
rnacentral:lncRNA from 1 species